GAGGGUGUAGCUCAAGUGGUAGAGUAUAUACUUAGCACGCAUGAGGUCCUGGGUUCGAUCCCUAGUCCCUCU
rnacentral:tRNA from 1 species